UAAAAUUUAGGUAUAUAAAAGAUUCAUUUAGAAGAGCUUUUAAGAAAUAAAAAAAACUAAAAUAGUGAAUUUUGGCCGAUCAAUAUGGCGGUGGUGACCAGAUGUGGGCAUGCUUCCAAGGAGGUCUGUACGUAUGCAUAGAACGUGAAAUAAUGGCCUACUAAGGUAGGCAUAAUUAUCAGAAGUGUCACAUGGUACCAUCCUAGAUAAUCAUAAUCUAGGCCCUAUUUGAAAGUGCCGUUGACGAUAGAACUUUUAAAAAUAGAGUUUUCUUAAGUAGAAGUUUUAUAAAAAACUGUUUAAUGUUUGGUAACUAUAUUUCUAAUGUGUUGUACCACUUUAAUAUGUAUUUGGUGAACAAACUAAGAAAGCACUUUUGGUAUGAUAAAAUGACUAUAAAGAACAUUACAUAGUAUUAUA
rnacentral:lncRNA from 1 species